UGUCCUCUCCACAGUCACUGAGCACACAGGUCCUCACCAUGGGAUGGAGCUGGAUCAUUCUCUUCCUCCUGUCAGUAACUACAGGUGUUCACUCCCAUGUCCAGUUGCAGCAGUCUGGUCCUGAGCUGAGGAAACCUGGGGACACAGUGAAGUUGUCCUGCAAAACUUCUGGCUACACCUUCACUAAUUAUGAAAUGCACUGGGUGAGUCAGAGGCCUGGACAGGGCCUAGAGUGGAUUGGAUACAUUUAUCCUUGGACUGGUAAUACUAACUAUGCUCAGAAUUUCCAGUGCAAGGCAAAACUGACUGAAGACAAAUCCUCCAGCACAGCCUACAUGGAGCUCAGGAGCCUGACAUCUGAGGACUCUGCGGUCUAUUACUCUGCAUGA